AGUGAACGCUGGCGGUAGGCCUAACACAUGCAAGUCGAACGGCAGCACAGUAAGAGCUUGCUCUUACGGGUGGCGAGUGGCGGACGGGUGAGGAAUACAUCGGACUCUACUUUUUCGUGGGGGAUAACGUAGGGAAACUUACGCUAAUACCGCAUACGACCUACGGUUGAAAGCAGGGGAUCUUCGGACCUUGCGCGAUUGAAUGAGCCGAUGUCGGAUUAGCUAGUUGGCGGGGUAAAGGCCCACCAAGGCGACGAUCCGUAGCUGGUCUGAGAGGAUGAUCAGCCACACUGGAACUGAGACACGGUCCAGACUCCUAAGGGAGGCAGCAGUGGGGAAUAUUGGACAAUGGGCGCAAGCCUGAUCCAGCCAUACCGCGUGGGUGAAGAAGGCCUUCGGGUUGUAAAGCCCUUUUGUUGGGAAAGAAAAGCAGCAGGUUAAUACCCCGCUGUUCUGACGGUACCCAAAGAAUAAGCACCGGCUAACUUCGUG
rnacentral:rRNA from 1 species